UAGAGGAAUCUGUUCUGUAAUUGAUAAUCCACGUUGGACCUCACUUAAUUUUGUUUUCAAUUUGUAUAUCGCCGUCAUCAGAAUAUAUUAUAAGAUUAAUAAUUUUCUUGAUAUUUCAUUAAAUAAUAUGUCAGGUCAAGGUGCAGUUUAUGGUUAAGUAGAAAUGGAUUACAAUAAAUAUAUUUAUACGGAUAAUUUUUUGAAAUAAAAAUUUGAAGGUGGAUUUAAUAGUAAUAUAAAAUAGAUUAUUUAUAUGAUUAUAGCUCUAAAACAUGCACACAUCGCUCGUCGCUCUCAUUUUUAAAAUGAGAUAAGUCGUAACAUAGUAGAUGUACUGGAAAGUGUAUCUAGAAUGA
rnacentral:rRNA from 1 species